rnacentral:snoRNA from 1 species
AACGCAAAUUUCACAGCCAUUCACAACGUUAUUGCAUUCCUCUGAGGUUGAACCCACUAUGGCGUUCUGACCCAUGACCAUUGGAGUAUAGUUGUAGGAAUAUUCAUUUCGGUGGGUAUUCUUUGCAGAGUGGACUGGAGAAUAAUUUGGUUGAUCUUGGGUGCAUCGUCUCAUCUGUUGAAUAGCUCUGUCUAUUUCUAAGGGAUUGCCUUCGUGUGCCCGUAUGGGAGGUGAUGCAAUGAUCAGCUGUACAUCU